GGGGAAUAUUGCGCAAUGGGGGGAACCCUGACGCAGCAACGCCGCGUGAGUGAAGAAGGUCUUCGGAUCGUAAAACUCUGUCAUAGGGGAAGAAGGAGAUGACGGUACCCUAUGAGGAAGCCCCGGCUAACUACGUGCCAGCAGCCGCGGUAAUACGUAGGGGGCGAGCGUUGUCCGGAAUUACUGGGCGUAAAGGGUGCGUAGGCGGCUGAUUAAGUCAGAUGUGAAAUACCAGGGCUCAACCCUGGGGGUGCAUUUGAAACUGGACAGCUUGAGUGCAGGAGAGGGAAGUGGAAUUCCUAGUGUAGCGGUGAAAUGCGUAGAGAUUAGGAGGAACACCAGUGGCGAAGGCGACUUCCUGGACUGUAACUGACGCUGAGGCACGAAAGCGUGGGGAGCAAAC
rnacentral:rRNA from 1 species